AAGUCGUAACAAGGUUUCCGUAGGUGAACCUGCGGAAGGAUCAUUAACGAGAUAAUGCUACUGCUCUACUGCGGUGGAGUGUAGUCAUUCAAUAAUGAUAAUAAUUUGUUGAACGAUAGUCGCUCGUUUUAGCGUAAAGCUAAAAAUUGAAUUAUGUUAACGAGUAUGCUAGUUGGUUAAUGAUGUGCAUGCACGCUUAAUUGCGUGCGUGUACAUAGAGCGACCGAACUACUGACUGCUGCUCGGGGUACGGCCCGUAGUGUAAUGCUACGGUGAGUCGUACCUGUGUCAUUUUUAAAUUUGAGUAAUAAAAUUCGCGUACGCGUGUUUAAGCGCGAGUACGUGUAGACUUGUGAAAGAGAGAAUAAUAAUAAAAUGCAUAACUGCAAACGGUGGAUCACUCGGCUCAC
rnacentral:misc_RNA from 1 species